rnacentral:lncRNA from 1 species
GUGAAACCAAUUUAAUAAUUUCUCUUGUUAAGUGGAUAAGAUGGACUGGACAAUAUUUGGAAAAAAAAAAAAAAAAGGAGAUAAAAUAUCGUCUAUUAAAAAAAUAAAAAUUGUCCUGUACAAUCUUAAUAAUUCAUGCCAAACUUGCAUUGGCAGUAUAUUAAUGAGAUUAGGCAUCAUAUUCUGACAAGGCUAUUAAUGCUUCUUCUUCGUUUUUUUUGCCUAAAUCAUCCAGGUAUCCUAUUUGCUCUUGAUAUUCUUUUGCGGAAUGUUUAUUACAGUCGAUGGCUUCAACAAAACCGGAAUUCCAAGCAACCUGUGGGAUUUCAUGGAGCCUUAUGCAAAAAUAGAUCAUAUCAGGGGAAUGGCAGUUUUAGCUGCUGUCAUAAUUGUGCUCUCAAAUUUGGCAUCAAAUGUACCUACAGGUAUGUCGAAUGUACCUGACUUUGAAUAUGAGAUAAUAAUUUGUCGUCACUUGACCGAAUGAGAAGAAAAGGAGACAGCCGAUUCAAUUUUAUGUCGAACACUCAAACAUGAAAAUCUUCUAGGAUAGAUUACAUGUUUAAAUGAUUCAAGUGACAUUGGACCAAGCGUGGGAAAAUAUGUUAGCCCGUUGCUACUCGAGGUAAAUUAAUGUAAAAGAUUUUCAUAUUUGGAAGCUGUAAUUAAAAGCUUACUUUCCCCAGUUUUAAUGAUGGCGUAGCCUUCCCUAGGAUUAGAAACCACGCAAGGCAGGCAAUGCCAUGCACCCCUUCCGUAGGCUAAGAACAAUUGAUUAGAUUGGACAUACGUUACAAAGUAGGAAAUUGGAAAGAUUAACACUUCAAAGCAUAAGGCUAUCUCCCAACAUUUGCUCCCUGUGACGUAAAUGAAGCGAGUCCAUAAGGAAUUCAUAGUAGAAAGGGGCGCGCUUUAGUUGCACAAGGGAAUUCAAAUCGGAAGUUGAUCCCAAAAUAUUUCUCAUAAUCACAUACUACUCCAAUCGAAUCUGUUUGUACAUUACAAAAGCCACAAUUAAAAAUACUAAAUACUUCAUGUCACGGCAUUCAUUUCUUCAAUCUUAAUGAAAUAUGCUACUUGGAAACUUGCAGAAGCAAUAUAUGUACCCUGUAUAUAGUGGUGUAAAAGUGAGGCCAGGCUUUGCAUUGUGGCUAGCAGGUUCCCCACAGGUCAAAUAAAUAUAUAUAUAAAUUCAAAACAAUCAUAAGGCUCGACUCGUUGGGAUUGCAGAUAUGGCCACGGAGAAAUGUAGUGGUCCGUGCUGGUCUGUACUGGCCUUUCUAACCCCGGUUUGACCUAAUUGACACUACUUGUAUAAUCAAGUGAAUAUAACUGUGAGUUGCUUUCACUUUCAGUUCUACUGCUUGGAGCACGAGUGGCAGCUUCUGCUGCAGUAAUAUCGCCUGCCAGUGAGAAGAAAGCAUGGCUUGUCUUAGCUUGGGUGAGCACGGUUGCAGGGAAUCUCUCUCUUUUGGGAUCAGCUGCCAACUUAAUAGUGUGUGAACAGGCCCGUCAAGCUCACCAUGGCUACAAUUUAAAAUUUUGGAGUCACCUCAAAUUUGGAGUUCCCUCUACUAUUAUUGUAACAGCUAUUGGUUUGACUUUGAUAAGAGCAUGACACCUUGUGAUCAAUCUGAGGUUCUCUAGUAAAUUCAAUUAUGCUGAUACAAGGAUUCUGAUGAACAAGAAUAAUUUAGAUUUUUCGCAAAAUCAUUUAAAACUGAGAAACUACAUGUUAUCUUCUUUAGAUUAUGAUUCAACAACGAGUUUGAGCUGGUGAUCGAUUUGGGCAUGGGCUGAAUUGGAUUUAACUUUUUAAGUGGAAUUAGUUCGUUCUUCAUCUAUUGUGGGAAUCAAAUCCAAAUUGGACCAAUAUCGAUUGGCAUUAAGAGAACCUUAAUGAACCAAACUUGAAUUCCACAGCUAUAGGAUGCACUACAAACGAUUAAAUCAACACGAAGAUGAAUCAGUGCUAUAAACGUGGAUUUAAUCUGUAGUGUACAUAGCAUAUACAUGAUUUACAUUUCUUGAAAUACAUGCAUCUAUCUAUAACAUAAAAACAGAAUUAGUUCUAUAUAUCUUACUGUAUUUCCUCACAUUGAAAUAUGUUGAAAUGAAGCAAUUUUAUAUAUAGCCUUUUUUUGUUUCCCAUUAUCUAGCCAUUAAAAUGAAAAAUAUGACCGUUAUCUAUCAUAUCAAGCUACCAUUUUUGAAUUUUUAUUUCUUGUAUGGCGUCCGUAACGGCUAUAUUUUUCAUUCUCGUUCUUACAUUAAUAAAAAACAAACGGGGCCAUAUAUAUAUAGUAGUUAAAACACACGAGUAAAAUUCCAAAAAUAAGUUCCAGAAUUUCAGACUAUAAAUAUAAUUCUACAUGAUCAUGAUUCCAUAGCAUUACUUCAAUAAAGAAGAGAGCUCAAAUUUAAGUUUUUUUGUUCCUUAGGGGUUGCAUUAGUAAAGCUCAAAAUUUCCCAAUCGAACAAUAAACUACAUUCAGCAGAUUAAACCUUAAAGAAGACAAAGCAGGGAAAAGCUGAAUUAGUACAGUGAAAAUAAGCUGAAUAUCUAGUCCCCUUCCUUCCAUUGCACGUUUGAGUAGAUUAGAUGACACUAGAUGAUGUUCAUAAUACUCUUCGUUGUGAUCUAAUACUGAAUAGCAAUCGCACAUUUACUAUCUUCCAUUUUGAAGUGAAAGUUGGUAGAUCAUAUCAGGGGAAUGGCAGUUUUAGCUGCUGUCAUAAUUGUGCUCUCAAAUUUGGCAUCAAAUGUACCUACAGGUAUGUCGAAUGUACCUGACUUUGAAUAUGAGAUAAUAAUUUGUCGUCACUUGACCGAAUGAGAAGAAAAGGAGACAGCCGAUUCAAUUUUAUGUCGAACACUCAAACAUGAAAAUCUUCUAGGAUAGAUUACAUGUUUAAAUGAUUCAAGUGACAUUGGACCAAGCGUAUUGCCAAGUGGGAAAAUAUGUUAGCCCGUUGCUACUCGAGGUAAGUUAAUGUAAAAGAUUUUCAUAUUUGGAAGCUGUAAUUAAAAGCUUACUUUCCCCAGUUUUAAUGAUGGCGUUAUAGUUUCACGAUAUGAUUCCAACAUGAUAAUAACUCUUGUAAAGAUAAUUUUCACAAUCAAUAAUGAAAUCAAGAAAUGCAGACUAAUGAAGUUCAAGGGGAAGCAGAGCAAUGAUAUAUAUAUUUUGCUGCAUUGCAGCAUUGAUCUCUCGAAAGCAGAUAAAGCCAUGACACAAGGCCUUAACGUCGUGUACAUAUUUAGUCUCAAAAGACUGGACAAUAUAAUGAAUAAGAUUUAGACUUUUUUUCUUUUUUCAAAAUUAUCCAGUCCCGUGUAGUACUCCAUGUUAAACAUAUAGUAAUGGCUAGAUGGUUAAGGAUAAAGAACAACCUCCUUGUUCCAGUUAGUUUUGUAAAGAACUAACAAGAGUAGCAAUGUCUGCAAAGCUGUUCCGGCUAUCAUGCCACCCCAAAGUCCCUACAAUAGUAAAAUUAUAAGCAUAUGAAAAUUAAAAUAAUUUGACUUUGAGUAAUAUUAAAGCAUAUAAAGGAAAUUUAACUAUAAGCAUUAACAACUAGACGGGUCUUAAGAAAAACGAUAGGUAACAAAUUAUCUUUACGACUUUCAGUUAAAUCAACAGAAAGAAUUUAAUUGUGAAUAUAUUAAAAAAAUAAAAAUUGUCCUGUACAAUCUUAAUAAUUCAUGCCAAACUUGCAUUGGCAGUAUAUUAAUGAGAUUAGGCAUCAUAUUCUGACAAGGCUAUUAAUGCUUCUUCUUCGUUUUUUUUGCCUAAAUCAUCCAGGUAUCCUAUUUGCUCUUGAUAUUCUUUUGCGGAAUGUUUAUUACAGUCGAUGGCUUCAACAAAACCGGAAUUCCAAGCAACCUGUGGGAUUUCAUGGAGCCUUAUGCAAAAAUAGAUCAUAUCAGGGGAAUGGCAGUUUUAGCUGCUGUCAUAAUUGUGCUCUCAAAUUUGGCAUCAAAUGUACCUACAGGUAUGUCGAAUGUACCUGACUUUGAAUAUGAGAUAAUAAUUUGUCGUCACUUGACCGAAUGAGAAGAAAAGGAGACAGCGGAUUCAAUUUU